rnacentral:rRNA from 1 species
UGGGGAAUUUUGGACAAUGGGGGAAACCCUGAUCCAGCCAUCCCGCGUGUGCGAUGAAGGCCUUCGGUUUGUAAAGCACUUUUGGCAGGAAAGAAACGUCAUGGGUUAAUACCCCGUGAAACUGACGGUACCUGCAGAAUAAGCACCGGCUAACUACGUGCCAGCAGCCGCGGUAAUACGUAGGGUGCAAGCGUUAAUCGGAAUUACUGGGCGUAAAGCGUGCGCAGGCGGUUCGGAAAGAAAGAUGUGAAAUCCCAGAGCUCAACUUUGGAACUGCAUUUUUAACUACCGGGCUAGAGUGUGUCAGAGGGAGGUGGAAUUCCGCGUGUAGCAGUGAAAUGCGUAGAUAUGCGGAGGAACACCGAUGGCGAAGGCAGCCUCCUGGGAUAACACUGACGCUCAUGCACGAAAGCGUGGGGAGCAAACAGG